UACGGGGGGGGCAAGCGUUGUUCGGAAUUACUGGGCGUAAAGGGCCAGUAGGCGGCCAACUAAGUCGGAUGUGAAAUCCCCAGGCUUAACCUGGGAACUGCAUCCGAUACUGGACGGCUUGAAUUCGGGAGAGGGAUGCAGAAUUCCAGGUGUAGCGGUGAAAUGCGUAGAUAUCUGGAGGAAUACCGGUGGCGAAGGCGGCAUCCUGGACCGACAUUGACGCUGAAAGGCGAAAGCUAGGGGAGCAAACGGG
rnacentral:rRNA from 1 species